GUGUCCAGCAGCCGCGGUAAUACCGGCAGCCCAAGUGAUGGCCGCUGUUAUUGGGCCUAAAGCGUCCGUAGCCUGCUGUGUAAGUCCAUUGGGAAAUCGACGCGCUCAACGCGUCGGCGUCCGGUGGAAACUACACGACUUGGGGCCGAGAGACUUGACGGGUACGUCCGGGGUAGGAGUGAAAUCCUGUAAUCCUGGACGGACCACCGAUGGGGAAACCACGUCAAGAGACCGGACCCGACGGUGAGGGACGAAAGCCAGGGUCUCGAACCGGAUUAGAAACCCCAGUAGUCC
rnacentral:rRNA from 1 species